UACAGGGGGGGCAAGCGUUGUUCGGAAUUACUGGGCGUAAAGGGCUCGUAGGCGGCCAACUAAGUCCGACGUGAAAUCCCAAAGCUUAACUUUGGAACUGCGUCGGAUACUGGAUGGCUUGAAUUCGGGAGAGGGAUGCAGAAUUCCAGGUGUAGCGGUGAAAUGCGUAGAUAUCUGGAGGAACACCGGUGGCGAAGGCGGCAUCCUGGACCGGCAUUGACGCUGAGGCGCGAAAGCCAGGGGAGCAAACGGG
rnacentral:rRNA from 1 species